UAAGAUGCCAUUAUCUAAAAAAUAAAAUAAA
rnacentral:piRNA from 1 species